AAACCAUGAUGAUGGCACUGCCUUUGAAGACUCUUGAAUGUAUCCCAUGCUUCAAAUAAUGAUUCUCCAUUUGCCUAAGAAAAAUUUGUUAUCCAAUUCCUCAUAU